rnacentral:rRNA from 1 species
CACCGGCGGCUCGAGUGGUGGCCACUUUUAUUGGGUCUAAAGCGUCCGUAGCCGGCUUGGCAAGUCCCCUGGGAAAUCUGGCGGCUUAACCGUCAGGCGUCCAGAGGAUACUGCCAGGUUUGGGACCGGGAGAGGUGAGAGGUACCUCAGGGGUAGGGGUGAAAUCUUGUGAUCCCUGAGGGACCACCAGUGGCGAAGGCGUCUCACUAGAACGGGUCCGACGGUCAGGGACGAAAGCUGGGGGCACGAACCGG